GACGAACGCUGGCGGCGUGCCUAACACAUGCAAGUCGAACGGAGAUACGAUUUCGGUUGUAUCUUAGUGGCGAACGGGUGAGUAACGCGUGAACAACCUGACUCUAAGAGGGGGAUAACACUCGGAAACGGGUGCUAAUACCGCAUAAGACCACGACCCGGCAUCGGGAUGAGGUCAAAGGAGUAAUCCGAUGAGAGAGGGGUUCGCGUCCCAUUAGAUAGACGGCGGGGUAACGGCCCACCAUGUCAACGAUGGGUAGCCGAGCUGAGAGGCUGAUCGGCCACACUGGAACUGAGACACGGUCCAGACUCCUACGGGAAGCAGCAGUGGGGAAUAUUGGGCAAUGGGCGCAAGCCUGACCCAGCAACGCCGCGUGAGGGAAGAAGGCUUUCGGGUUGUAAACCUCUGUCCUUGGUGACGAAACAAAUGACGGUAGCCAAGGAGGAAGCCCCGGCUAACUACGUGCCAGCAGCCGCCGUAA
rnacentral:rRNA from 1 species